AGUUUUGCACAGUGGCAGUAUCGUAGCCAGUGAGCUUUACCCGAGGCGCGAAUAUUGCUAGUUAAAUAUUUAUAAAAACCUUUCGAGCAGCGCCUGAACAAGAAUAGGUUAAGAGGAGCUCCGGUAGUCUUGAGUUUGGGCUUGUCCC